AGAGAGAGACAUGCGCGCAUAUCAAUAAGCGGAGGAAAAGAAACUAACAAGGAUUCCCCUAGUAACGGCGAGUGAAGCGGGAAGAGCUCAAAUUUGAAAUCUUAAAGGGCUUCCCUUUACGAAUUGUAGUUUAAAGAAGUGUUUUCUGUUGAGGUUUUGGUAAAAGUUCUUUGGAAUAGGACAUCAUAGAGGGUGAGAAUCCCGUAUUUGACCUUUACUUUCAACUUUGUGAUACACUUUCAAAGAGUCGGAUUAGUUUGGGAAUGCAGUCCAAAAUGGGUGGUAAAUUUCAUCUAAAGCUAAAUAUUGGCGAGAGACCGAUAGCGAACAAGUACCGUGAGGGAAAGAUGAAAAGAACUUUGAAAAGAGAGUUAAACAGUACGUGAAAUUGUCAAAAGGGAAGCGUUUGACACCAGUGUUGUUUUUCUGAAAAUCAAUUAAAGAACUGUUUAUGCUAAGCUGUUUAGACUUUAUCAGCUAACUGUUUAGUUUUGAGCUUUUCUUUAAUGCACUUUUCAGUUAACAAGUCAACAUCAAUUUCUUUUGCUGUAAAAAAGCUUGAGGAAGGUGGCUUGAGAUUCGUCUUAAGUGUUUAUAGCCUCUUGCCUAUGCAGUCGGAGAGAUUGAGGUCUGCAGCGUAGAUCCUUCGGGGCUAAAUGCAUUUGUGCUAAGUUAUAGCAUUUUAUAGACAACUUGUUGACUAUGAUUUGUCUUGUAGCUUACUCGCUUAUGUUAUUUUACCUACGCUUAGGAUGUUGAGCGCAUGUCUCUCUCU
rnacentral:rRNA from 1 species